GCGCUCGCCCUCGAUUUCAUCGAACGACGGCGGGGGAAGGCACGACGCUCUCCUACGUCGCGGCCUACGGGCAGGACGGGGAGGCGGGCGUGGCGGCGUUCGAUCGCGGGACGAGCGCGCUGAGACCCUGGACGCCGCCGUGCUGGUCUCCGGGUUCCUCCUCGGCGUGGUCUGCAUCUUCCCCGCCAAGAUCUUUGGUGGAGUUCCUCCCCAGUUUUUCCUCGGUCAGCGGCGACUCGCGGCGGAACGAGGGCUCCCAAGACGGCGGCUCACGCGUUGCGGAGGAGCUGGGUCGAAGUCGCUGCAGCGGGGAGACGCCGUCCUCCUCGGCCGUCCUACCUCCGGCGACCUCACCAUCUUGAACGGAUCUGCAGGCUGACCAUAAAUUAUGGUACUGCUGCUUUGUGAAAGUAUUUUCUGUUGAUUUAGCCUCUCUGGUUCAGAUAAAGGAAGGUACAUCAUAUGAGAUAGUUUGCAUUGCGCAUUGGUUGAGGAGUGCCUGGCAGUUGGCGAGAGAAGAGGAUCAAAAGAACGAAAGGAGGCAAGAUUAUUUUAUGGUUGUGGAACCAGUCUCCCGGAUUCUAUUUUAUUUGCAUUACGUAUUGGUUGAGGAGUGCCUGGCAGUUGGCGAGAGAAGAGGAUCAAAAGAACGAGAGGAGGCAAGAUUAUUUUAUGGUUGUGGAACCAGUCUCCCGGAUUCUAUUGUACAUGCAGAUGCAGAUUUGGUUUGAUGUUGAGAUUUGGCUGGGUCUCGAUUCAAUUUUGGCCAGGUGGUGCGCUGAAUACUCCUGCUAAUUCUAAUGGUAUUGGGAAAUGCGGCAAAACUUAUAUGAGCUGGAUUUCACUGUUGUUGCCGUGAGGGAAACACAAUGGAGGUAUGUGUGCCAGCCAAUCGUACAGGUCAGUUCAAAGAACUUCUGAAGAAAGGCUAUGUGUGUACCAGUCAAUCGUACAGGAUACAUCUCGCAUGGGUGAGAUCAGAAGGUCUAGGUCAUUGUUUGGCAAUGUAUCUGUGGCUUACGCUGAAAACUUCCUCUCAUAAUGAUGGUUGCUGUGUGACCUUAUCAGUGGUUUAUGUUGGAAGCGAGCAUGUUUUUUGAUAACUUCUUCUACGCUGGUGACUGUUGGCUGAAGUUAUUCCAGUGCGAGAACUGAGCUAUACUUCAAGUGUAUCUCUGCUGUAAUCAUUAGCAUCAGACCCAUGCUAUGUACGGAAACUGUGUCAACAUCAUAUUAUUUCCAGGGAGGGUUGCAGGUAAUUAUUCUUCAAAACUAUUUGAUUUCCAUUGAGUAGUCAAAAUCUUCUCUCUUUAUUUAGUCAAAGGAGGCUGAAUAGAAAGCUCCAUCAUUAUUUAUCGUGUGCCCUUUUGUUCCCCGAGAAAAGGAAAGCAUAGCUGAUCAUUCGUA